rnacentral:rRNA from 1 species
AUAUUGCACAAUGGGGGAAACCCUGAUGCAGCGACGCCGCGUGAGCGAAGAAGUAUUUCGGUAUGUAAAGCUCUAUCAGCAGGGAAGAANAUGACGGUACCUGACUAAGAAGCCCCGGCUAACUACGUGCCAGCAGCCGCGGUAAUACGUAGGGGGCAAGCGUUAUCCGGAUUUACUGGGUGUAAAGGGAGCGUAGACGGAGCAGCAAGUCUGAUGUGAAAACCCGGGGCUCAACCCCGGGACUGCAUUGGAAACUGUUGAUCUGGAGUGCCGGAGAGGUAAGCGGAAUUCCUAGUGUAGCGGUGAAAUGCGUAGACAUUAGGAGGGACACCAGUGGCGAAGGCGGCUUACUGGACGGUAACUGACGUUGAGGCUCGAAAGCGUGGGGAGCAAACAGG